AGACAGAAGUGAGGAUGUGUUAAGCUUUUUGAAUGGUGCCCUUGACGUCGCUCCCCAAACUCAAAGCACCUCGGGAGAAAUCAAAGGUCCUGAGAAUACCUUUGGUAAACCAGCUACAACCCCAG